UACGAAGGGUGCAAGCGUUGUUCGGAAUUACUGGGCGUAAAGGGCGCGUAGGCGGCCGCCUAAGUCAGACGUGAAAUCCCUCGGCUCAACCGGGGAACUGCGUCUGAUACUGGGUGGCUUGAAUCCGGGAGAGGGAUGCGGAAUUCCAGGUGUAGCGGUGAAAUGCGUAGAUAUCUGGAGGAACACCGGUGGCGAAGGCGGCAUCCUGGACCGGCAUUGACGCUGAGGCGCGAAAGCCAGGGGAGCAAACGGG
rnacentral:rRNA from 1 species